UUCCUGUUCAACGUUCAUCGGAGCAGGGUGAGUCGGCCCCUAAGGCGAGGCAGAGAUGCGUAGCUGAUGGGAAGCAGGUUAAUAUUCCUGCACCGUCGUAUGAUGCGAUGGGGGGACGGAUCGCGGAAGGUUGUCUGACUGUUGGAAUAGUCAGUUUCUGCUUCAUAGAAGGCGCUUAGGCAAAUCCGGGCGCGUAAUUCAAGGGAGUGGGACGAGUGAGCUUGCUCACGUAGCAAUCGGAAGUGGUUCCAAGAAAAGCCUCUAAGCUUCAGUCAUACGAGACCGUACCGCAAACCGACACAGGUGGGCGAGAUGAGUAUUCUAAGGCGCUUGAGAGAACUCGGGAGAAGGAACUCGGCAAAUUGGUACCGUAACUUCGGGAAAAGGUACGCCCCGGUAGCUUGGCUGAUUUACUUCAGUAGGGCGAAAGGGUUGCAAUAAACUGGUGGCUGCGACUGUUUAAUAAAAACACAGCACUCUGCAAACACGAAAGUGGACGUAUAGGGUGUGACGCCUGCCCGGUGCUGGAAGAUUAAAUGAUGGGGUGCAAGCUCUUGAUUGAAGUCCCAGUAAACGGCGGCCGUAACGAUAACGGUCCUAAGGUAGCGAAAUUCCUUGUCGGGUAAGUUCCGACCUGCACGAAUGGCGUAACGAUGGCCACACUGUCUCCUCCCGAGACUCAGCGAAGUUGAAGUGUUUGUGAUGAUGCAAUCUACCCGCGGCUAGACGGAAAGACCCCAUGAACCUUUACUGUAGCUUUGCAUUGGACUUUGAACCAAUCUGUGUAGGAUAGGUGGGACGCUUUGAAGCGGGGACGCCAGUUCUCGUGGAGCCAACCUUGAAAUACCACCCUGGUUUGUUUGAGGUUCUAACCUUGGUCCGUGAUCCGGAUCGGGGACAGUGCAUGGUAGGCAGUUUGACUGGGGCGGUCUCCUCCUAAAGUGUAACGGAGGAGUUCGAAGGUACGCUAGGUACGGUCGGACAUCGUGCUAAUAGUGCAAUGGCAUAAGCGUGCUUAACUGCGAGACCGACAAGUCGAGCAGGUACGAAAGUAGGACAUAGUGAUCCGGUGGUUCUGUAUGGAAGGGCCAUCGCUCAACGGAUAAAAGGUACUCUGGGGAUAACAGGCUGAUUCCUCCCAAGAGUUCAUAUCGACGGGGGAGUUUGGCACCUCGAUGUCGGCUCAUCACAUCCUGGGGCUGUAGCCGGUCCCAAGGGUAUGGCUGUUCGCCAUUUAAAGUGGUACGUGAGCUGGGUUUAAAACGUCGUGAGACAGUUUGGUCCCUAUCUGCCGUGGGCGUUGGAAAUUUGAAGGGGGCUGCUCCUAGUACGAGAGGACCGGAGUGGACGAACCUCUGGUGUACCGGUUGUCACGCCAGUGGCAUUGCCGGGUAGCUAAGUUCGGAAGAGAUAACCGCUGAAAGCAUCUAAGCGGGAAACUUGCCUUGAGAUGAGAUUUCCCGGAGCUUUAAGCUCCUUGAAGGGUCGUUCGAGACCAGGACGUUGAUAGGCUGGGUGUGGAAGUG
rnacentral:rRNA from 1 species